UGGGGAAUAUUGGACAAUGGGCGAAAGCCUGAUCCAGCCAUGCCGCGUGUGUGAAGAAGGUCUUCGGAUUGUAAAGCACUUUAAGUUGGGAGGAAGGGCAGUAAGCGAAUACCUUGCUGUUUUGACGUUACCGACAGAAUAAGCACCGGCUAACUCUGUGCCAGCAGCCGCGGUAAUACAGAGGGUGCAAGCGUUAAUCGGAAUUACUGGGCGUAAAGCGCGCGUAGGUGGUUCGUUAAGUUGAAUGUGAAAGCCCCGGGCUCAACCUGGGAACUGCAUCCAAAACUGGCGAGCUAGAGUAGGGCAGAGGGUGGUAGAAUUUCCUGUGUAGCGGUGAAAUGCGUAGAUAUAGGAGGGAACACCAGUGGCGAAGGCGACCACCUGGGCUCAUACUGACACUGAGGUGCGAAAGCGUGGGGAGCAAACAGG
rnacentral:rRNA from 1 species